UACGGAGGGUGCGAGCGUUGUCCGGAAUCAUUGGGCGUAAAGGGCGCGUAGGUGGCCUGGCAAGCGUGCGGUGAAAGCUCGGGGCUCAACCCCGAGUCGGCCGUGCGAACUGCUGGGCUCGAGCACUGUAGAGGCAGGCGGAAUUCCGGGUGUAGCGGUGGAAUGCGUAGAGAUCCGGAAGAACACCGGUGGCGAAGGCGGCCUGCUGGGCAGUGGCUGACACUGAGGCGCGACAGCGUGGGGAGCAAACAGG
rnacentral:rRNA from 1 species